AAUUGUAUUACUCCCUGUGAGAUCGGAACCCAAGGUGAAGAGUUCCACGAUGUUACUGUUGGAGAUAUGACACACUUUGACUACCAAGGGCAAAGAGACCAAACUUCCCCACUGAGAAGUUUGCCCUUAUUGAGAAAUAUUCCUAUGACAAACUAAAUGAAUUGGAGAUGCCAGGCUGGAGCAAGGAGUUUGAAAGUGUUUGCCACGUACAGGGGAAAUAAGCAACUAUCAAAAGCUGGUACACUGGUUUUCUCCUGCCUUUGGACUGGGACUCAGACUGGAACUUAUACCAAUGGCUCUCCAGCUUCUCCUGCCUUUGGGCUUGGACUGGA